CCGGUCCCGGUUCCGGUCCCGGUUCCGGGGGCGGGGCGAGGCGGGGCCGCGCCAACCAAUGGGAUCGCGCCGCGGCCCUGUUGCCUUGGAGACCGCGGGCUGCCCGGCCGAGGAGCCGCUCCCAUUGGCUGCCGCCUCGGCGCGGGCCCGGCGCAGGGCGCGAUCCCAUUGGCUGCGGCGCCGCCCGCUGUUGCCAUGGCGACAGCGCCCGAGUGCGGCCUAGGCCCGGCCCCGAGCCCUGGGGCCUGGCCCGGGGGCGAGCAGCGGGCACCGGGCACCGGGAACGGCCCUGAGGGGGGCUGGGGGGAGCCCCGCGGGGUCAGGCGGAGCCGCAGGGCCCGGUCUCGGUGUUGGGGGCACGAGUGUCCCGUGCGGAAGCGGGGAUGGAGCCAAGAGGCCUGGUCCCGGGGGGGCUGAGGGGAGCGGGGCGCAGCAAGCGGCAGGAGGCCGAAGCGGAGAGGGGAGCAGUGGCCCGCGAGCUGAGCCUGCCACCGAUCCCCAGCGAGGACAAGAGGAGAGGGGAGAAGAAGAAGCCAGUUACAUUUAUGUCGAGUAAAAAAACACCCCUGCCUUCGAAGAAAGCGGUAUCCCAAGAGAAAUACAGAAGUUUUACCGAGAAGAAGUCAGCGCUCAAGGAGGCUGAAAUAGCUGAGGCGUUGGAAGAGAUCAAAAUCACCACGGAUCUGACCCAGCAGAAGAUAAAUGCCAUAGAGGAGCUGAAGCAGCGCAGCGCCCGCCUGGAAGAGGCCAACUGCCGGCUGAUGAAGGACAUCCAGCACACCGAUGCCAGCACUGCCAAGCGAGCCAGAGACCUGCUGCAGCAGUACGAACAGUUUCAGAUGGUCAAGGCAGAGACACAGAUCUCCAGUCAGAAGAGACUGGACACAGCGAGGGCAGAGCUGCAGGAAAUGGAAAAAACAAUGGAAAAGAAUCUGGGAGGCGAGUGGCUCUCAUUACAGUGAAGUAUGGCCUAUAUAAUCACCUUCCCUUUGCUUUCCAGUGGUCAAAGGCAUUGUGCCGAUGUUACAAAUGCCAAACUAUUCCAUUUCUGAAAAUUAAUCCCCUUUCCUGCAUGGGGAUAAUCCUCCUGUCAGGAGGGGCAGAACCCCGUGACACCCAUCAGCCUAAGAGGCUGGGAAGAGUCUCCUCCUCGGCAGCUCUUUGCACCAUUCCGGACAGGUUCUGGCCAAAGUGGUCUGAUGUGGGGUGGCUGUUCCCACUGCUCACGUGGCAAUCUGUAAUCCAGAUCCCUUCCCACAUGGUGUGCUCAGCCAAACGCAGGACAGGCUCAUCGGCUCGGUUAAUUAGCGAAGUUCUGGAAGCCUCAGGUUGACAUUUUCUGCUUUGACUUCCCCGCAGAGCUACAGCAGCAGCUGGAUGAAGCCACAUCCAACGUACAGGUUCUCCAGGACGAGCUCGGCGUCCUGCGGACCUACACGGACGUGCAUUAUCCCAAACAGGCUCUCCAGAUUGUCCUCCUGCUCUCCGACAUCCAGAACCUGAAGAAGCAGCAGCAGGUGCUGAGACCUCUCCUUCCUUGCAGCGUUGCUCUGGGGGCUGGAGAGGGCAGGGGAGGAAGGAACAGGAGCUCAGUGUUUGUCCUGCUUAACGCUCCUGCUGUUCCUGUGCGCUGCCUCCUGCCGCCCUCAGGAUGAGAUAGACAAGACAGAAGAAAUGGGGAAGGCCGUCCUGGAGGAACUGGAAGAGAAAACACGGCAAGAACAAGAGGAGCUGCUGCAGAAAGUCGUGGAGGUAGGUGGAACUACUCCGCCGUCUCGGCAG
rnacentral:lncRNA from 1 species